rnacentral:piRNA from 1 species
UCAAAUGCAAAAUAUGGUAAUGUCACAC